rnacentral:rRNA from 1 species
CCCUUAGAUGUUCUGGGCAGCACGCGCGCUACAAUGGUCUUCGCAAACGGAUGCAUUCUCGAAGGAGAAUGCCAAUCUUGGAAUCUAUGCCUUGGUCGGGACAGUUGCUUGCAAUUUUUCGACUCGAACCAGGAAUUCCUUGUAAUCGUGAUUCAUCACAUCACGAUGAAUACGUCCCUGCCCUGUGUACACACCGCCCGUCGCUCCUACCGAUCGAAGAGUUAGGUGAAUUGUUUUGAUCGAUAAGAUUUGACUAUGGUCAACUCUCGUUGUGAAAUUCUGUGAAUCUGACUGUUUAGAGGAAGGAAAAGUCGUAACA